rnacentral:lncRNA from 1 species
AAACCCUAAUUUCCCAAAUUGGAAACCCUGACCCGGUACCCGUUUCCCCUCCCUAAACCAGCAGCAGCAGCUGCUGCCCUCUAACCUAAACACACACACACAGCCGCAGCCUUCCCCCAAUUCAACCAGCAGCAACAGCUGCGAAAAUGGAAGAAAGAAAGAAAUAGAGAGGGAAGGGAGAAAUGGAUCCGUAGAGGAGAAGAAGGAGAGGAGGGGAGGAAAGGGAUUGCGCCACGUGCUGGGCUUCUCCGCCAUCGCGCCACACUGCCUCACCACUGCCGCGCCACACUGCCUCACCACUGCCGCGCGAGGAGGAAAGGGAGCCAUUGCGCUCUACCACCGCGAGCUCCGUCGCACCCUGCAUCGCCGAGGGUUUCAUUCUUGUCAGAUCCGUCGCCGUCCAGACGUCACCCUCACCGCGUCGCGCCAUCACUGUAUCCNNN